rnacentral:tRNA from 1 species
GCUCUGUAGCCCAGUUGGUUAGAGCGCUGCAAUGGAAUCGCAGGGCCGCAGGUUGAAUUCCUGCCAGGGACC